rnacentral:rRNA from 1 species
UGCCCGUCCGAGUUGUAAUCUAGAGAAGUGUUACCCGUGCCGGACCGUGUAUAAGUCUCCUGGAAUGGAGCGUCAUAGAGGGUGAGAAUCCCGUCUUUGACACGGACUACCGGUGCUUUUGUGGUGCUCUCAAAGAGUCGAGUUGUUUGGGAAUGCAGCUCAAAAUGGGUGGUAAAUUCCAUCUAAAGCUAAAUAUUGGCGAGAGACCGAUAGCGAACAAGUACCGUGAGGGAAAGAUGAAAAGAACUUUGGAAAGAGAGUUAAACAGUACGUGAAAUUGCUGAAAGGGAAACGCUUGAAGUCAGUCGCGUUGGCCGGAAAUCAACCCUGCUUUUGCUGGGCGUACUUUCUGGUUGACGGGCCAACAUCAGUUUUGACCGGUGGAAAAAGUCUAGGGGAAUGUGGCAUCUUCGGAUGUGUUAUAGCCCUUGGUCGUAUACAUCGGUUGGGACUGAGGAACUCAGCACGCCGCAAGGCCGGGUCUUUGACCACGUUCGUGCUUAGGAUGUUGGCAUAAUGGCUUUAAUCGACCCGUCUUGAAACACGGACCAAGGAGUCUAACAUGCCUGCGAGUAUUUGGGUGGAAAACCCGAGUGCGUAAUGAAAGUGAUAGUUGAGAUCCCUGUCGUGGGGAGCAUCGACGCCCGGACCAGACGUUCUCUGACGGCUCCGAGGUAGAGCAUGUAUGUUGGGACCCGAAAGAUGGUGAACUAUGCCUGAAUAGGGUGAAGCCAGAGGAAACUCUGGUGGAGGCUCGUAGC